rnacentral:rRNA from 1 species
AGUGAACGCUGGCGGCAGGCCUAACACAUGCAAGUCGAGCGGCAGCGCGGGGGCAACCCUGGCGGCGAGCGGCGGACGGGUGAGGAAUUCGUCGGAAUCUGCCUUUUUGUGGGGGAUAACGUAGGGAAACUUACGCUAAUACCGCAUACGUCCUACGGGAGAAAGUGGGGGACCGCAAGGCCUCACGCAGAAAGAUGAGCCGACGACCGAUUAGCUAGUUGGUGGGGUAAAGGCCCACCAAGGCGACGAUCGGUAGCUGGUCUGAGAGGAUGAUCAGCCACACUGGGACUGAGACACGGCCCAGACUCCUACGGGAGGCAGCAGUGGGGAAUAUUGGACAGUGGGCGCAAGCCUGAUCCAGCCAUGCCGCGUGUGUGAAGAAGGCCUUCGGGUUGUAAAGCACUUUUGUCCGGAAAGAAAUCCCUGGAGCUAAUACCUUCGGGGGAUGACGGUACCGGAAGAAUAAGCACCGGCUAACUUCGUG